rnacentral:rRNA from 1 species
GACGAACGCUGGCGGCGUGCUUAACACAUGCAAGUCGAACGGGAAGGCCCUGCUUUUGUGGGGUGCUCGAGUGGCGAACGGGUGAGUAACACGUGAGUAACCUGCCCUUGACUUUGGGAUAACUUCAGGAAACUGGGGCUAAUACCGGAUAGGAGCUCCUGCUGCAUGGUGGGGGUUGGAAAGUUUCGGCGGUUGGGGAUGGACUCGCGGCUUAUCAGCUUGUUGGUGGGGUAGUGGCUUACCAAGGCUUUGACGGGUAGCCGGCCUGAGAGGGUGACCAGCCACAUUGGGACUGAGAUACGGCCCAGACUCCUACGGGAGGCAGCAGUGGGGAAUAUUGCACAAUGGGCGGAAGCCUGAUGCAGCAACGCCGCGUGCGGGAUGACGGCCUUCGGGUUGUAAACCGCUUUCGCCUGUGACGAAGCGUGAGUGACGGUAAUGGGUAAAGAAGCACCGGCUAACUACGUGCCAGCAGCCGCGGUGAUACGUAGGGUGCGAGCGUUGUCCGGAUUUAUUGGGCGUAAAGGGCUCGUAGGUGGUUGAUCGCGUCGGAAGUGUAAUCUUGGGGCUUAACCCUGAGCGUGCUCUCGAUACGGGUUGACUUGAGGAAGGUAGGGGAGAAUGGAAUUCCUGGUGGAGCGGUGGAAUGCGCAGAUAUCAGGAGGAACACCAGUGGCGAAGGGCGGUUCUCUGGGCCUUUCCUGACGCUGAGGAGCGAAAGCGUGGGGAGCGAACAGGCUUAGAUACCCUGGUAGUCCACCCUGUAAACAGUGGGUACUAGGUGUGGGGUCCAUUCCACGGGUUCCGUGCCGUAGCUAACGCUUUAAGUACCCCGCCUGGGGAGUACGGCCGCAAGGCUAAAACUCAAAGGAAUUGACGGGGCCCCGCACAAGCGGCGGAGCAUGCGGAUUAAUUCGAUGCAACGCGUAGAACCUUACCUGGGUUUGACAUGGAUCGGGAGCGCUCAGAGAUGGGUGUGCCUCUUUUGGGGUCGGUUCACAGGUGGUGCAUGGCUGUCGUCAGCUCGUGUCGUGAGAUGUUGGGUUAAGUCCCGCAACGAGCGCAACCCUUGUUCACUGUUGCCAGCACGUUAUGGUGGGGACUCAGUGGAGACCGCCGGGGUCAACUCGGAGGAAGGUGGGGAUGACGUCAAGUCAUCAUGCCCCUUAUGUCCAGGGCUUCACGCAUGCUACAAUGGCUGGUACAGAGAGUGGCGAGCCUGUGAGGGUGAGCGAAUCUCGGAAAGCCGGUCUCAGUUCGGAUUGGGGUCUGCAACUCGACCUCAUGAAGUCGGAGUCGCUAGUAAUCGCAGAUCAGCAACGCUGCGGUGAAUACGUUCCCGGG